UCCAAAGGAGAACUUCAUCACCAGGAGAAAAAGUCGCAGCACAGUGGGUCGAGUCGUAACGAAACUUGCGAGCAUCCUGGGAGAUGCCGGUGUUAAGCGGGGCGAGGCGACUGCAGUCUGCGAGGCGAGACACAAACUGUUCCGAGAAAGGAACUGAUGGGAGUACAGGAGUCGAAAGGAAUGAUUCAUCAAGGAUGAAACUUGGUGAACAGCCAUAGAUGAAGAAAAAAGGUGAAAAGCCAGUAGUACGUUGCGUAGCCAUGUUAUUAGGCGAAUGUCACGAACGGCAGGAUUGCAUCCCAGUUCGUGUGGCCGGGGCGGAUGUACAUCGCAAUCAUGUCAGAGAGGGUACGGUGAAAACACUCCGUCAAGCUGUUGGUCUGCGGAUGGUAACUGGAAGUCGUCUUGUGAAUUGUGUUAGAGGCGCACAGAACUUCGGUAAGGAUAGAAGAGAGGAAGACUGCUGUGGUCACUGAGGAGAACGCGCGGAGCGCUGCGGUGUAAGGUAAUGUUGUGUAGAAAGAAAUCGGCGACUUCAGCAGCAGUCCCGGAUGGUAGAGAUGCUGUCUCCGCAUAGCGUGUUGGAUGGUCUACAGCCGUUGCAAUCCAACGAUUGCCAUGUAAGGUCGUGUGAAGAGGACCGUAUAAGUCUAUUCCAACUACUUCGAAAGGCGAAGCGGGACAAGGCAGAGGUUGUAAAGAGCCAGAAGGAGCUGUUGGAUGUUUUGUACAUGCAAGGGAACACUAUAGGCAUUUGAUAGCCGUUGCUUAGAUGUACCACAUUAACAGGAACCAAACAAACUCCCUCAGACAUAAGCAUGCAACAAAUUCAAGCACUAGAUGAAGCUUCAAAGAAGUAACUGUGUUUCAUGUAGGACAGGAGUGAAUGACCUUUGUGCAUGAAAUCAGUUAUAAAAACACUAAAUGAAUGCAGUACAGUGUCUGUAUCAUAUCUUAUGCAGACCAAACUAGCCUAGAGUUUCAGCGUUCCUUGUCAGUUCAUUUAAAUAGGCACUACAUUGUUCAGAGUGCAAUAUUCUACAAAACAUAAAAUGCAAGAUGUAGCAUGCUAACCCUCGUGGCUCAACAACUACUGAACCGAAACCUCAAUGAGCAGUGAAUAUUCCUUGUAAUUUUCAUCGUAACCAUACUUUUGCUCUUGAAAGUGAACCUCUUUAGUGAAUUUGCUUGUGUAUUAAUUUUUCACUAGGCAAGUAUUUUUUUACAUGUUAAUGUCUCAAUCCUGCUUUCUCUUCCCGGAGCUAAAACAAAAUGCCUCUUAUUUCAAUUUGAUCUUUCGACCUAGGAGGCCAUCAUCUGGUGCUGUGUACAGCAAGCACAUGCUUCGGGCAAGGAGGGAGCCAGCACCAUAUCUACAUCAGCAAGAACAUCGGUGCUCAAAAUAAACAUUUUCUGUGCAAA
rnacentral:lncRNA from 1 species